CACCCGUGCACCUUAAUAAAGACCUGGCCCCACAGCUCUUCUCUCUGUCUCUUGCUCCCCACCCGUUGGUUGAGCUCCCUGCCACCUCUAGCCUUCCCGUCAGCCUCCUGUUGACACCCCUAACCUCUAUGUGAUCUGAUCAUGGCAUCUAUGUUGCUGCAAAGGACAUGCUUUCAUCCUAUUUAUGGCAGCACAGUAUUCCACGGUGACAUGUAACACAUCUUCAAACGGAGUCUCGCUCUGUUGCCCAAGCUGGAGUGCAGUGGCGCGAUCUCGGCUCACUACAAGCUGUGCCUCCCGGGUUCACACAAUUCUCCUGCCUCAGCCUCCCCAGCAGAUGGGACUACAGAUGCCCACCAUCACGCCCAGGAAACACAAGAGACCUAAGUGUUAAACAUCACCAUGGGAAUGCAAUCAGCAUGAUUCAGACUAUGAAAAACUACAUAACAACGCCAGUCUCAGAAGUAAUAAAGGAAAAAUAGCAACUUUACAGUGAAGAAAGCUGAAAGAUACCACCUCAAUGAAAUGAUCAAGCCCCUGCACUUGGAUCAGCUAGCACCACCCAGAUCGAUAAACUGGCUCAUCUGAUCUGUGGGCCCCCCACCCAGUGCAAGAGGAUAGCUUCAACUCUGUAUGAUUUUAUCUCUGACCCCACCAAUCGGCACUCUAGACUCACUGUCCCCCACCCACCAAAUUUUCCUUAAAAACCCUGAUCCCAAAUGCUUGGAGAGAUUGAUUUGAAUAAUAAUAAACUAAUCUCCUGUACAGCCGA
rnacentral:lncRNA from 1 species